rnacentral:rRNA from 1 species
AGAGUUUGAUCCUGGCUCAGGAUGAACGCUGGCGGCGUGCUUAACACAUGCAAGUCGAACGAUCCUUCGGGAUAGUGGCGGACGGGUGAGUAACGCGUGGGAAUCUGCCCUCAGGAGGGGGAUAACGGCUGGAAACGGCCGCUAAUACCCCAUAUGCCGAGAGGUGAAAUGAAUUUCGCCUGAGGAUGAGCCCGCGUCUGAUUAGCUAGUUGGUGGGGUAAAGGCCUACCAAGGCAACGAUCAGUAGCUGGUCUGAGAGGAUGAUCAGCCACACUGGGACUGAGACACGGCCCAGACUCCUACGGGAGGCAGCAGUGGGGAAUUUUCCGCAAUGGGCGAAAGCCUGACGGAGCAACGCCGCGUGAGGGAUGAAGGCCUCUGGGCUGUAAACCUCUUUUCUCAAGGAAGAAGACCUGACGGUACUUGAGGAAUAAGCCACGGCUAAUUCCGUGCCAGCAGCCGCGGUAAUACGGGAGUGGCAAGCGUUAUCCGGAAUUAUUGGGCGUAAAGCGUCCGCAGGCGGCCUUGUAAGUCUGUUGUUAAAGCGUGGAGCUCAACUCCAUUUAAGCAAUGGAAACUACAAGGCUGGAGUGUGGUAGGGGCAGAGGGAAUUCCCGGUGUAGCGGUGAAAUGCGUAGAUAUCGGGAAGAACACCAGUGGCGAAGGCGCUCUGCUGGGCCAUAACUGACGCUCAUGGACGAAAGCCAGGGGAGCGAAAGGGAUUAGAUACCCCUGUAGUCCUGGCCGUAAACGAUGAACACUAGGUGUCGGGGGAAUCGACCCCCUCGGUGUCGUAGCCAACGCGUUAAGUGUUCCGCCUGGGGAGUACGCACGCAAGUGUGAAACUCAAAGGAAUUGACGGGGGCCCGCACAAGCGGUGGAGUAUGUGGUUUAAUUCGAUGCAACGCGAAGAACCUUACCAGGGUUUGACAUCCUGCGAACCCCUGAGAAAUCGGGGGGUGCCUUCGGGAGCGCAGAGACAGGUGGUGCAUGGCUGUCGUCAGCUCGUGUCGUGAGAUGUUGGGUUAAGUCCCGCAACGAGCGCAACCCACGUCUUUAGUUGCCAGCAUUCAGUUGGGCACUCUAGAGAGACCGCCGGUGAUAAACCGGAGGAAGGUGUGGAUGACGUCAAGUCAUCAUGCCCCUUACAUCCUGGGCUACACACGUACUACAAUGCUACGGACAAAGGGCAGCAAGCUCGCGAGAGUUAGCAAAUCCCAUAAACCGUGGCUCAGUCCAGAUCGUAGGCUGCAACUCGCCUACGUGAAGGAGGAAUCGCUAGUAAUCGCGAAUCAGAAUGUCGC